rnacentral:sRNA from 1 species
CUUACCAUUGUUGCCUCGGCAGAAGCUGCUCGGUGCACCCUACCUUGGAACGGCCUACCCUGUAGCGCCUUACCCUGGAACGGCUUACCCUGUAACGGCUGCCGGUGGACUACCAAACUCUUGUUAUUUUAUUGUAAUCUGAGCGUCUUAUUUUAAUAAGUCAAAACUUUCAACAACGGAUCUCUUGGUUCUGGCAUCGAUGAAGAACGCAGCGAAAUGCGAUAAGUAAUGUGAAUUGCAGAAUUCAGUGAAUCAUCGAAUCUUUGAACGCACAUUGCGCCCAUUAGUAUUCUAGUGGGCAUGCCUGUUCGAGCGUCAUUUCAACCCUUAAGCCUAGCUUAGUGUUGGGAGCCUACUGCUUUUGCUAGCUGUAGCUCCUGAAAUACAACGGCGGAUCUGCGAUAUCCUCUGAGCGUAGUAAAUUUUUAUCUCGCUUUUGACUGGAGUUGCAGCGUCUUUGGCCGCUAAAUCCCCCAAUUUUUAAUGGCGGCGAGUGAAGCGGCAACAGCUCAAAUUUGAAAUCUGGCGUCUUCGGCGUCCGAGUUGUAAUUUGCAGAGGGCGCUUUGGCAUUGGCAGCGGUCCAAGUUCCUUGGAACAGGACGUCACAGAGGGUGAGAAUCCCGUACGUGGUCGCUAGCCUUUACCGUGUAAAGCCCCUUCGACGAGUCGAGUUGUUUGGGAAUGCAGCUCUAAAUGGGAGGUAAAUUUCUUCUAAAGCUAAAUACUGGCCAGAGACCGAUAGCGCACAAGUAGAGUGAUCGAAAGAUGAAAAGCACUUUGGAAAGAGAGUUAAAAAGCACGUGAAAUUGUUGAAAGGGAAGCGCUUGCAGCCAGACUUGCCUGUAGUUGCUCAUCCGGGUUUUUACCCGGUGCACUCUUCUAUAGGCAGGCCAGCAUCAGUUUGGGCGGUUGGAUAAAGGUCUCUGUCAUGUACCUCCCUUCGGGGAGAACUUAUAGGGGAGACGACAUGCAACCAGCCUGGACUGAGGUCCGCGCAUCUGCUAGGAUGCUGGCGUAAUGGCUGUAAGCGGCCCGUCUUGAAACACGGACCAAGGAGUCUAACAUCUAUGCGAGUGUUUGGGUGUCAAGCCCGAACGCGUAAUGAAAGUGAACGGAGGUGGGAACCUUUCGGGGUGCACCAUCGACCGAUCCUGAUGUCUUCGGAUGGAUUUGAGUAAGAGCAUA